rnacentral:lncRNA from 10 species
UUAUGAGAAAAAGCAAUAAAGGAAGACAUCAAUUCUCAAGCGAAUAAUUUCUUCUAUAGAGCCUGCUAAACAACACCAACGACAGGUGCUGGCUCUGUUACCCAGGAGUGUGGUGGCACGAUCUUGGCUCACUGGAACUUCCACCUCCUGGGCUCAAGUGAUCCUCCCACCUCAGCCUCUUGAGUAGCUGGGAUUACAGGCGUGAGCCACCAUACCCAGCCCUAACAGUGAAUCUUCACCUUGAAAACUCAAUGACAAAUCUCCAAAGAGGAAAUACGUUCUUUAAUAAUCUUCAUCUCAGAAAUGUACACAAUCCAAUGUCUUGGAAAUUGAUACAAAGAACAUGAAUUUCUGU